AUGGGUGUCUUUAAACUCUCAGCUGGUUUCUGUGAGAAAUAUGAAUGCUUGAUCAGGGAGUUUUGGUGGGGUGAAGAGGAAGGCAGAAGAAAAGUACACUGGACUACCUGGGACAAAUUGGUUAAACCCAAGAGAGCAGGCGGAAUGGGGUUCCGUGACAUGCAGAUUUUUAAUCAAGCCCUCCUAGCAAGGCAGGGGUGGAGAUUACUGCAACGGCCGGAGAGCCUUUGUGCAAGAGUACUUAAAUCAAUAUACUACCCCAAAGGUGAUCUCCUUGAUACGGUCUUUGCGACGGAGGCUUCUCAGGUUUGGAGAGGAAUUGAACACGGUCUUGAACUCCUAAAGAAGGGGAUCAUUUGGAGAGUGGGGAAUGGAAAGUCAAUUCAGAUUGAGAGGGAUCAAUGGAUACCUAGAAAAAGUGGCCUCAAAGUUGCUAGAUUCAAGAGAAGGGCGAGACUAAGAUGGGUAAAUCAACUGCUGGUACCAGGUGGCAAGGAGUGGAAUGUCAACUUGGUGGAACAAUUGUUUCAUGAUUUUGAUGCUGAGGAGAUAUGUAAAAUAAGGCUGCCUAGCACUGACAUUGAGGAUUGUGUGGCCUGGCAUAGCGAGAAAAGCGGCGUUUUUACUGUUCGGAGUGCUUACAAACUAGGAACACAACUCAAACAGCAAGUAGGGGCUGCAGCCUCAACUUCUGAAAGUGACGCGGACAACAGAGGUAUUUGGGAUCUUAUAUGGAAAUCUAGGACCCCGGAGAAAGUUCGUAUCUUUGCCUGGCGAGUGGCCACUGAGACUUUGGCCACAAAGAAGAAUAAGUGGAAAAGAACAUUGGAACUAGACAACAUAUGCAGUAUCCGUGGAAGGGAAGUGGAGGAUGAGUAUCAUGCAACGGUAUUCUGCACCAAGGCAAGAGCACUUGGUAUGGAGAUGAGGAAGCAGUGGAACCUUCCUGCAGAGGGAAAAUUCGCUUAUACAGACAAGGACUGGUUGCAGAUUCUCCUUAAGCUCAAGCAAUAUAGACAUGCGACAGAAAAUACUGCUCCUUCUGUGGCGCUCCUGUUGGCUACGAGAGGAUUGCAUCCAUGCAAAAGGUAG
rnacentral:rRNA from 1 species